rnacentral:rRNA from 1 species
CGAGCGAACAGACGAGGAGCUUGCUCCUCUGACGUUAGCGGCGGACGGGUGAGUAACACGUGGAUAACCUACCUAUAAGACUGGGAUAACUUCGGGAAACCGGAGCUAAUACCGGAUAAUAUAUUGAACCGCAUGGUUCAAUAGUGAAAGACGGUUUUGCUGUCACUUAUAGAUGGAUCCGCGCCGCAUUAGCUAGUUGGUAAGGUAACGGCUUACCAAGGCAACGAUGCGUAGCCGACCUGAGAGGGUGAUCGGCCACACUGGAACUGAGACACGGUCCAGACUCCUACGGGAGGCAGCAGUAGGGAAUCUUCCGCAGUGGGCGAAAGCCUGACGGAGCAACCCCGCGUGAGUGAUGAAGGUCUUCGGAUCGUAAAACUCUGUUAUUAGGGAAGAACAAAUGUGUAAGUAACUAUGCACAUCUUGACGGUACCUAAUCAGAAAGCCACGGCUAACUACGUGCCAGCAGCCGCGGUAAUACGUAGGUGGCAAGCGUUAUCCGGAAUUAUUGGGCGUAAAGCGCGCGUAGGCGGUUUUUUAAGUCUGAUGUGAAAGCCCACGGCUCAACCGUGGAGGGGUCAUUGGAAAACUGGAAAACUUGAGUGCAUAAGAGGAAAGUGGAAUUCCAUGUGUAGCGGUGAAAUGCGCAGAGAUAUGGAGGAACACCAGUGGCGAAGGCGACUUUCUGGUCUGUAACUGACGCUGAUGUGCGAAAGCGUGGGGAUCAAACAGGAUUAGAUACCCUGGUAGUCCACGCCGUAAACGAUGAGUGCUAAGUGUUAGGGGGUUUCCGCCCCUUAGUGCUGCAGCUAACGCAUUAAGCACUCCGCCUGGGGAGUACGACCGCAAGGUUGAAACUCAAAGGAAUUGACGGGGACCCGCACAAGCGGUGGAGCAUGUGGUUUAAUUCGAAGCAACGCGAAGAACCUUACCAAAUCUUGACAUCCUCUGACCCCUCUAGAGAUAGAGUUUUCCCCUUCGGGGGACAGAGUGACAGGUGGUGCAUGGUUGUCGUCAGCUCGUGUCGUGAGAUGUUGGGUUAAGUCCCGCAACGAGCGCAACCCUUAAGCUUAGUUGCCAUCAUUAAGUUGGGCACUCUAAGUUGACUGCCGGUGACAAACCGGAGGAAGGUGGGGAUGACGUCAAAUCAUCAUGCCCCUUAUGAUUUGGGCUACACACGUGCUACAAUGAACAAUACAAAGGGUAGCGAAACCGCGAGGUCAAGCAAAUCCCAUAAAGUUGUUCUCAGUUCGGAUUGUAGUCUGCAACUCGACUAUAUGAAGCUGGAAUCGCUAGUAAUCGUAGAUCAGCAUGCUACGGUGAAUACGUUCCCGGGUCU